GAUUGUCGGGAAAUCAGGUAGGAAGGGCAGGUUUAAUCAAGCGGCAGUAACCGGCUGACGUCAACAAUUCGUGCAGUAAAAAACAGCAAUCAGCAGUGUAUUGCAGCAUGGAGAACCAAGAAGAAGAAAGUUUAGAAGAAAACAGUUUCAAACAAUUUCAGAAUACCUUUUAAUUAAUAUUAAUGUGUCAUAAUUAAUGUUAACUUAUCACAAUUAAUCAAACUCAUUGUAUUCUACUAAAUGUGCCAUCGAAAUUAUACAGGAUUCAUCUUAAUUAUCGGCUGUUUGUAUUGGAGAUCACCAACCCCAGCAUGGACCAAUCUCUCAUUCCAUCUUCUAUUGGAUAAUUGAUCAGUGGUUUCAUGCGUUUCUAAAUUGGCAUGACGGACUUGAUGAGAAGUUAUGUCCUUUCAAGAAAAAGGACUUACGACAACAAGAUUCCUUGUUUGCUAACCCAUUGGCUGCUACCCUUGAAUCUCCCUUUUUAAUUCCUUACACGAGCCCUCUUGAUUUGAGGGUAAUCCUUCGCUACUGAUCAUGGACUUCAUUGGUGAAACUGAAAACCGACGAGAGAAUGCUGUAAUCCAAGACUGUGUGAGAAUGUGACAUGAAUAAUACAGUGUGUAUGCAUACAUGUUCCAGUUCUGCUUGAUGCCUUACUCAAUUCAUCACCCGUAUGAUAAAGCAUCAGGAAAUUUAUCUCAACAUGAGAAGUAAGGCUGUUGGUUGUUGU
rnacentral:lncRNA from 1 species